GACGAACGCUGGCGGCGUGCUUAAUACAUGCAAGUCAACUUGACUUUAGAUAGCAAUAUCGAAAAGUAGGGUGGCGCACGGGUGCGUAACGCGUAGGUAAUCUGCCCUGAGGUCUGACAUAACCCGUCGAAAGGCGGGCUAAACAUCAGAUGAUAUAUAAUCACGACAUCGUAGGAAAUAUCAAAUCUUCGGAGCCUUGGGAUGAGCCUGCGUCUGAUUAGGUAGUUGGCGGAGUAAUAGCCCACCAAGCCUAACGAUCAGUAGCUGGUCUGGAGAGGAUGAUCAGCCACACUGGAACUGAGACACGGUCCAGA
rnacentral:rRNA from 1 species